ACUCCUACGGGAGGCAGCAGCUAAGAAUAUUCCGCAAUGGACGAAAGUCUGACGGAGCGACGCCGCGUGGAUGACGAAGGCCGAAAGGUUGUAAAAUCCUUUUGCUGGGGAAGAAUAAGCAUGGGAGGGAAUGCCCGUGUGAUGACAUGAACCGGCGAAUAAGCCCCGGCUAACUACGUGCCAGCAGCCGCGGUAACACGUAGGGGGCGAGCGUUGUUCGGAAUUACUGGGCGUAAAGGGCAUGUAGGCGGCCUUGUAAGCCUGGCGUGAAAUUCCACGGCUCAACCGUGGGAAUGCGUCGGGAACUGCGAGGCUUGAGUGACGGAGAGGGAGCUAGAAUUCCUGGUGUAGGGGUGAAAUCUGUAGAUAUCAGAAAGAAUACCAAUGGCGAAGGCAAGCUCCUGGCCGAUGACUGACGCUGAGGUGCGAAAGUGUGGGGAUCAAACAGGAUUAGAUACCCUGGUAGUCCACACGGUAAACGAUGUGCACUAGGUGCUGGGGCGGAUGCUUCAGUGCCGGAGCUAACGCGGUAAGUGCACCGCCUGGGGAGUAUGCUCGCAAGGGUGAAACUCAAAGGAAAUUGACGGGG
rnacentral:rRNA from 1 species